ACUCGACCCAAGGUUUAAGAAUCUGAAGUGCCUUCUAAAGUCUGAGAGGGAUAAGGUGUGGAGCAUUCUUUCAGAAGUCUUAAAAGAGCAACACUCUGAUGCGGAAACUACAGGACCCGAACCAC